GCCUUAAUAAUUAUAAUAGUUUUGAAAGGAUUUACAGUCGCUCUGCUACCGAGACUUCGUAUUCCGACCUCGGUGACCUCCACCGCAGUCGUCGCCACCGCUAACUACUCACGCUCCAUGGAGAAACCGGUCGAAACCAGUCUGCGCACGAAGCUGUCAACAGAGUUGCAGCCAGCAUACUUGGAUAUCAUCAACGCAGAGUCACAUGCACUGUGUUCCAACGGGUUCAGAGGACUCACUUCAAGGUUUCUGUCGU